rnacentral:siRNA from 1 species
UGGAGCAGAUCAAGCGGUCCUGGU